rnacentral:lncRNA from 1 species
GUUGGCUUUGGAAUCUGACUUGGAAUCUGUUCAGAGGAGCAGAGUGGAGCUGAGGAGCUGGUUCUGGUUUGAAGAGAAGGUCAGCCAGGAAAUAUGGACUAGAACUUUUAGGAGACUUCUGUAUUAUCUUUUGCAACAUAGCCAAUGUGGAAAUGUUUUGAAAGACUGCACUCAUUUAAUCUAUAUCAAAAUGCUUGCUUUCUCAAAGAAGAAGGGAAGGAAGAGAAGUAAGCAAUUUAGAACUCAAAAAUUAUGAAAAACUAAUGUUAAAAUUGUUUUACAUGAAAUUGAGAAUAAAUAAAAUGUAGACAUUCUUACUUUUUUCA